rnacentral:rRNA from 1 species
CAGUCGCCACGGUAAUACGAAGGGGGCUAGCGUUGUUCGGAAUUACUGGGCGUAAAGCGCACGUAGGCGGAUAUUUAAGUCAGGGGUGAAAUCCCAGAGCUCAACUCUGGAACUGCCUUUGAUACUGGGUAUCUUGAGUAUGGAAGAGGUUAGUGGAAUUGCGAGUGUAGAGGUGAAAUUCGUAGAUAUUCGCAGGAACACCAGUGGCGAAGGCGGCUAACUGGUCCAUAACUGACGCUGAGGUGCGAAAGCGUGGGGAGCAAACAGGAUUAGAUACCCCCGUAGUCCCUGUCUCUUAUAC